CUGACCUUGACUUAGCUUCCUAGGCAGGCCUGCCUUCAGGGAGGGAACACGCUGAUCCUACACACCCAGGAAGGUUUCACCACAAAGAGGGCCACACCCUGAGCAAAAAUCCAGAGCUGGCAUCUGACUGCUGCACUGAUCUCUGGGAGUGCGCCUGGGACACAGCUAUCCCUGAGAGACAGCUGCAUUCAUAGGACUGACAUGUUGGGUUUUGGUGCCUCUCCAGUCAGACCUAUGGGAAAUCCCAGGAAGAUGCCGCCUUUAGCAAAGCUCUGAUCCGACAUCCAUGGAGACUCUACCACCUAGAACACACAAGGCACAGCACACUCUGGAGGCAGAGCGGCCGCUACACGUUUCCCCACUCCUCGAACCUUGGUUUUCUCUCCACUCAAAUGGGAAUACUGACUGCCCACAUAACUGAUCAAAUGCAAUAAAGCCUGUCAAGCGCCAGAUGCAGGAUGUGGAACAAAGAAGGAUCUCAUCCUCAGAGUCCAGAUGGAAACCAACUGUCUUAGAAAAGUGUACGGCUCUAUUUCACUGACCAACCCAGUGUGGGCGACUUGCAAGCUUUCAACGGAUGAUGGUACUCACGAGGCUUUGAUGAGCAGCUGCUCUCUCUCCUGGAGUUCCCGCUUCAGACUUUCUACUUCCACCUUGAGCUCAAUGUUCUACAAAACAAGAUUAAGAAAGAAAAGAAACAAUGUAAAAUAGAGGACCUAUGAAUGUCAACAAUGGGGAAACUGCUUCCAGCACAGACUGACUACAGGAUGCUUGUAAUAGGCAGAUGUUAGAUUCCAAAAACCCUCAUUAGCCUCAGGGCACAGGGAAAAGGGAAUUAUUAAACACUGGUGGUCUCAAAAGAAAGACCUAGAUUUUGUGAGACUUGGAACAAUUAUGUAAAUGCUCCAAGCUUCUAACAGCCAGAGCAUUCAAAUAUCAAGGCAUAAAUGUCAUACAAGGAAGGCUGAUUUAAAAAUUGUAUGCCCUCCACCAAGCAAAUUUACAAGCAAUUCUGCGGUGUGUUUUUCCCAUUCCAAAGCAAUUACUGGUGGUUGUUUACAAUCAUGCAUGUGGUGGAUGCAGCAGUGGGAACGUGUUACAGCUUAAAAAAAAAUAAAACAUGUGGAUGGAAAACAGGAGACCACAUCAUGGCAUGUGUCAUUUCAAUAUAAGAUUUCAGGGUUCUCACUUAAAGCUACAACCACAUGGGGCAAGCUGUCUAUAAGGAGCACCGCAAUGUUCUCCAACCAAAUGUCUUCCUCUUAACUGACUGGAACAAAGGGAGUUGCACACAGCCUUGGGCUUAUAACUCACGUGAGAAUCCAGGGCAAAUGGAAUUCAAUAUGAGACAGCUGAACAGUGGCAGACUUCUCAAACUUAUCUACAAAUGUAUCCCAGACAGAAUAUUAGAUGAACUCAAGUAGUAGAUGGG
rnacentral:lncRNA from 1 species